rnacentral:rRNA from 1 species
UACGGGGGGGGCAAGCGUUGUUCGGAAUUACUGGGCGUAAAGGGUCCGUAGGUGGCUUGCUAAGUCAGACGUGAAAUCCCUCGGCUUAACCGGGGAACUGCGUCUGAGACUGGCGAGCUUGAGUGGCAGGAGGAGGAACGCGGAAUUCCAGGUGUAGCGGUGAAAUGCGUAGAUAUCUGGAGGAACACCGGUGGCGAAGGCGGCGUUCUGGACUGUAACUGACACUGAAAGACGAAAGCCAGGGGAGCAAACAGG